UCUCUGAGAAAAACGCUGAGUCCCCAGGAAGGUCUGAACGGCCCCACGAAUAAAAACUCAGAGCUGUAAAGCAGCUCAACAUGGGCUGAAAGAAACGUUUGCCACAGGGGAAGGAAGAGUCCAGUAAGAGCAGAUCAUUUUCUGUCUUUGAUCGAAUGUUCUGCAACGUCCAAACUGGACAUAUAAAUGGGAGAAUUAUAAAAACUGGUGGAAAAAUUCCGACAGCGCAUUGUUAGGACACAGAAUUUGACAUCAGACUCAAAGUUCAGGUUGUCAGGAAAGACACCAGGGUUAACUGGAGGUCGCUGCUACAUCCACAAAUCCUGCUUAUCAGAUGUCAGUUAUUUACUCGACAUCAGAAAAAUAAAUAAUACCCCAAGGGACUGCUACCUAUGGAAUCCAUCUCCCCGUACAGCCUGCCCAGCGACCACCCACAGGGAACGUCUCUCAAGCAGCCUGUGCCUCUGGGCCCAUUUUGAGGCAGCAGCCAGCCGUACAUCAACCCCACGAGGCUCCCCAUCCCUCCCUAACUCGCCUCGUGGAUUCCGUGUUCUCAUACUUAUUUUGCAUUCCCAAAAUGAAGCUUUACUUCAUCCUAAGAACAAACUGCUUUCCAAGGAAAUUGAGAGUUAUUCAAAACAUUUUUCCAAACUAAAGUCCACAAGCUUAUGUGAAGGGUGUACAAAAGUGAUGUAACUGAGAGAGAGGGUCCUGGACUGAACCGGAUUGUGGAGGGGAGUAUGACUGCUGUUUUGGACGUGGUAAGCUUGAGAGGGACAAAGCACAGAUUUGGAGCCCAGGGAAUAGGUCUUGCCUAGAGGCACACAGGUGUGCACCUGCUCAUGUGCCAUGAAGCAGCAUCCACCUGUCUGGUGUGGCUACCGAGGGUGACGCAGCACCAUGCCCCAAAGCAAUCAGCCAGGAGUUCCAACCUGCUACAUUUGAGUACAACCUGAUACUUUGUAGACUGCUCAGCACCAACACAAAUAGAAAA